CGAUAGCUCAGUUGGUAGAGCGGGGGACUGUAGAUUUAUAAUUGUGAUCCCUAGAUCGCUGGUUCGAAUCCGGCUCG
rnacentral:tRNA from 1 species